GAUGAACGCUGGCGGCGUGCCUAAUACAUGCAAGUCGAGCGAACGGACGAGAAGCUUGCUUCUCUGAUGUUAGCGGCGGACGGGUGAGUGACACGUGGAUAACCUACCUAUAAGACUGGGAUAACUUCGGGAAACCGGAGCUAAUACCGGAUAAUAUUUUGAACCGCAUGGUUCAAAAGUGAAAGACGGUCUUGCUGUCACUUAUAGAUGGAUCCGCGCUGCAUUAGCUAGUUGGUAAGGUAACGGCUUACCAAGGCAACGAUGCAUAGCCGACCUGAGAGGGUGAUCGGCCACACUGGAACUGAGACACGGUCCAGACUCCUACGGGAGGCAGCAGUAGGGAAUCUUCCGCAAUGGGCGAAAGCCUGACGGAGCAACGCCGCGUGAGUGAUGAAGGUCUUCGGAUCGUAAAACUCUGUUAUUAGGGAAGAACAUAUGUGUAAGUAACUGUGCACAUCUUGACGGUACCUAAUCAGAAAGCCACGGCUAACUACGUGCCAGCAGCCGCGGUAAUACGUAGGUGGCAAGCGUUAUCCGGAAUUAUUGGGCGUAAAGCGCGCGUAGGCGGUUUUUUAAGUCUGAUGUGAAAGCCCACGGCUCAACCGUGGAGGGUCAUUGGAAACUGGAAAACUUGAGUGCGGAAGAGGAAAGUGGAAUUCCAUGUGUAGCGGUGAAAUGCGCAGAGAUAUGGAGGAACACCAGUGGCGAAGGCGACUUUCUGGUCUGUAACUGACGCUGAUGUGCGAAAGCGUGGGGAUCAAACAGGAUUAGAUACCCUGGUAGUCCACGCCGUAAACGAUGAGUGCUAAGUGUUAGGGGGUUUCCGCCCCUUAGUGCUGCAGCUAACGCAUUAAGCACUCCGCCUGGGGAGUACGACCGCAAGGUUGAAACUCAAAGGAAUUGACGGGGACCCGCACAAGCGGUGGAGCAUGUGGUUUAAUUCGAAGCAACGCGAAGAACCUUACCAAAUCUUGACAUCCUUUGACAACUCUAGAGAUAGAGCCUUCCCCUUCGGGGGACAAAGUGACAGGUGGUGCAUGGUUGUCGUCAGCUCGUGUCGUGAGAUGUUGGGUUAAGUCCCGCAACGAGCGCAACCCUUAAGCUUAGUUGCCAUCAUUAAGUUGGGCACUCUAAGUUGACUGCCGGUGACAAACCGGAGGAAGGUGGGGAUGACGUCAAAUCAUCAUGCCCCUUAUGAUUUGGGCUACACACGUGCUACAAUGGACAAUACAAAGGGCAGCGAAACCGCGAGGUCAAGCAAAUCCCAUAAAGUUGUUCUCAGUUCGGAUUGUAGUCUGCAACUCGACUACAUGAAGCUGGAAUCGCUAGUAAUCGUAGAUCAGCAUGCUACGGUGAAUACGUUCCCGGGUCU
rnacentral:rRNA from 1 species